AACGAACGCUGGCGGCAUGCCUAACACAUGCAAGUCGAACGAGACCUUCGGGUCUAGUGGCGCACGGGUGCGUAGCGCGUGGGAACCUGCCCUUAGGUUCGGAAUAACUCCCCGAAAGGGGUGCUAAUACCGGAUAAUGUCUUCGGACCAAAGAUUUAUCGCCUUUGGAUGGGCCCGCGUUGGAUUAGCUAGUUGGUAGGGUAAAAGCCUACCAAGGCGACGAUCCAUAGCUGGUCUGAGAGGAUGAUCAGCCACACUGGGACUGAGACACGGCCCAGACUCCUACGGGAGGUAGCAGUGGGGAAUAUUGGACAAUGGGCGAAAGCCUGAUCCAGCAAUGCCGCGUGAGUGAUGAAGGCCUUAGGGUUGUAAAGCUCUUUUACCCGGGAUGAUAAUGACAGUACCGGGAGAAUAAGCUCCGGCUAACUCCGUG
rnacentral:rRNA from 1 species